GAAAUAUAUUGAUAAUAUAGAAGCUGCUAACUUCUUUUAAUAGCGGUUUAAAUCCGUUAAUAUUUCU
rnacentral:tRNA from 1 species